rnacentral:rRNA from 1 species
GAUGAACGCUGGCGGCGUGCCUAAUACAUGCAAGUCGAACGCUGGAGAUCUAGCUUGCUAGAUCGAAGGAGUGGCGAACGGGUGAGUAAUACAUAAGCAACCUACCCACGAAGACUGGGAUAAUCUCUGGAAACGGGGACUAAUACCGGAUAGGUAAUCGGAAGGCAUCUUCUGGUUAUUAAAGGUUAAAAACACUGGUGGAUGGGCUUAUGACGCAUUAGUUAGUUGGUGAGGUAACGGCCCACCAAGACGAUGAUGCGUAGCCGGCCUGAGAGGGUGAACGGCCACAUUGGGACUGAGACACGGCCCAGACUCCUACGGGAGGCAGCAGUAGGGAAUUUUCGGCAAUGGGGGCAACCCUGACCGAGCAACGCCGCGUGAGUGAAGACGGCCUUCGGGUUGUAAAGCUCUGUUGUAAGGGAAGAACGGUAGAUAGAGAAUAUCUAAGUGACGGUACCUUACCAGAAAGCCACGGCUAACUACGUG